GUUAUCACUUGUCAGGAUGUGGCCAGCUUAUGAUGUUAUGGAACUUGGAGAGAAUGACUUGAACAAGUUCUUCAAGCAUUAAGGCUACAGACAUUUCAGGUCUCCUUCAACUGUUGAUGUUCGUUAUGUCUAGAUUUACUUUAAUACCUGGCAUGUCUAUUGUUUUCUCAGUUAUGCAAAUACACCACCACUCUCAGCAGACAAGCAGACAGCUGCUCCAGCCGUGAGCGCCAUGAAUGUUCAACCCUCUUCCUCCCUGAGAUGGACACCUCCAGCGUCCGCCCACUGAGGUCGUCACCUUUAACCCUGAGGGGCUGAGGUGAAGAUGCAUAUGUGUUCCAGUGUUGCAUCUGUCUUCAUUUUAUUAACUGUCUGGAACAUGCUUAAGCCCCCGGAUCACUGCCACCCAACACCCCCCCCCCCCCCCCCCCCCCACACACACACACACACACACUAUAUUUCAUGAGAAUCUUUAUAGUAAUACAUGAUUUUUAUUUAUUUUUUAUUUUUAGACUUGAUUGUUUUGUUGGCCUUUGAGAUCUGGCCCCGCUAAACAACCACUGUUUUCCAGUCGCACUUUAAACAGACCUUGUGGUUACCAGAUGGAUAAUGAAUAAGAUUAAAACGAGUUGAUUAUGUUGGUUUAGUAUAUUGAAUGUAGUAUAAUGAGGAAAUAAGAAAUACAUAUUUAAAGAGACAGAUGUAAAGUAAGUGCUGUAGGACUACCAUACAAGGUCGGAGACAAGAAGAAGAAGAAGAAGAAGAAGAAGGAAAGAGAGAGAGAGCUGAUCAGUGGUUUGGCUGAACUCACCAUGAACCAUGAAAAAUUUAUUUUCUCCAGAGUCUUUCUUUCUCCCAGAGGGAGCCAGAUUUACAUUUCCAUAUCUCUAUCUCUCUCUCUCUCUCUCUCUCUCAGCAUUGGUGUAGACAUGAAGGAUGCAGACAGGAACUCUGUGAUUCGAAGAGGUUGAGGGCUUGUUUUUGAGGCCCACCACUGAACUAUGUGUCCACAGUAUAGUCCACAUAUAUCUUUAGUAAAAACUCUCCUGCAGCUGAGGACCUGCUUCAUGUUCUAAAACCAACCCGUCAGACAUCCCUGGCUUAGUCGACCUGAUUAACUACAGUCUAGUGUGCAGACCCGGGUCACGAAUUAUCUCAAAGUAUCACCUUAUAUUAGAGUAUGUCUGAGGCAAAGACUGCAGCAAUGAUGUAUGUGUGGUUAGCAGGGGGUGAGAGAGAGAGAGAGAGAGUUGUGUGCUCUAGUGUCUGAGUGAUAGAUGUUAAUGGAUGGAUGCUGAGAGACCACCACACCACAUUCAUAAAUAUGUUGAAGAGGUUGAAUAAAUAUGCAGGCACAUGAUAUGGCUGGGUGAUGGGGAAUGUGUGCAUGCUUUUGUGUGGAUGUUUGUACGCGUCUAAGAUUAAACUCUAUGUGAACUCUAUAUGCUAAGUGUAGGGUCAAACUCAAGCUGACUUUAUAGUGUGUGUCUGUGUGUGUGUGUGUGUGUGUGUGUGUGUGUGUGUGUGUGAGAGAGAGAGAGAGAGAGAGAGAGAGAGAGCAUUACAUCUUUAGACUUCAGUCAUUGUGUACGUGAAUGCAUGCCACAUACAGUAUGUCUUACACAUCUCUUCAAACUAGAUUCUUUGAAAUA